rnacentral:rRNA from 1 species
CCUACGGGGGGCAGCAGUGAGGAAUAUUGGUCAAUGGACGCAAGUCUGAACCAGCCAUGCCGCGUGCAGGAUGACGGCUCUAUGAGUUGUAAACUUCUUUUGUACGAGGGUAAACCCCGAUACGUGUAGCGUUUUGAAAGUAUCGUACGAAUAAGCAUCGGCUAACUCCGUGCCAGCAGCCGCGGUAAUACGGAGGAUCCGAGCGUUAUCCGGAUUUAUUGGGUUUAAAGGGUGCGUAGGCGGUAUGAUAAGUUAGAGGUGAAAUGUCGGGGCUCAACCCCCAACCUGCCUCUAAUACUGUUGGACUAGAGAAUAGUUGAGGUAGGCGGAAUGUAUGGUGUAGCGGUGAAAUGCUUAGAUAUCACGCAGAACUCCGAUUGCGAAGGCAGCAUACCGGCCUGCAACUGACACUGAGGCUCGAAAGUGUGGGUAUCAAACAGGAUUAGAUACCCUUGUAGUC